rnacentral:rRNA from 1 species
CCUACGGGCGGCUGCAGUGAGGAAUAUUGGUCAAUGGGCGCAAGCCUGAACCAGCCAUCCCGCGUGCAGGAAGACGGCCCUAUGGGUUGUAAACUGCUUUUCCAGGAGGAGAAACUCUCGUACGUGAUACGGGAUUGACGGUACCCUGGGAAUAAGCAUCGGCUAACUCCGUGCCAGCAGCCGCGGUAAUACGGAGGAUGCAAGCGUUAUCCGGAUUCAUUGGGUUUAAAGGGUGCGUAGGCGGACUAUUAAGUCAGUGGUGAAAUCCUGCAGCUUAACUGCAGAACUGCCGUUGAUACUGAUAGUCUUGAGUUUGGUUAAGGUAGGCGGAAUGUGUAAUGUAGCGGUGAAAUGCUUAGAUAUUACACAGAACACCGAUUGCGUAGGCAGCUUACUGAGCCGACACUGACGCUGAGGCACGAAAGCGUGGGGAUCGAACAGGCUUAGAUACCCCUGUAGUC